rnacentral:rRNA from 1 species
AAUUGAUAUAUUUAAUUUUUAUAUUAGUAUUAAAAAUAUCUAUAAUUUUUAAAAGUUUAUAAAAUUUUUAUGUUUAAUUAAUUAUUUAGAAAUAAUUAUUUAAUUAAUAAUUUAAAGUAAUGUGAAUGAAUAUUUUUAAAUAAAGAAAAGUAGAAUUAUUUUUGUACCUUUUGUAUCAGGGUUGAUUAAAAUUUAUUUAAUAAAUUUAAAUAUCUCGAAAAUAAGUGAGCUAAAUUUGUAAUAUUUUUUUUGUUGCAAUAAAAUUAUAAAUAUAAAUUUAGAGAUUAAAUGUCAUUCGAACUUAUUGAUAUCUAGUUUUUUUAGAAAUAAAUUUAAUUUAGAUAUAAAAUUUUUAAUACCUUAAAAUUUAUUUAUAGUAUUAAUUUUUAUAUUAAAAAUUUAUGGGAUAAACUAUAAAUUUAUUUAUAAAAAUUUUUGAUUUUAUUUAUAAUAUUAUGAAGUUAAUAUUUUUUAUUAAUAUAAAAAAUUUAAUAAUUUAGUUAUUAAUUUUUAAAAAUUUAAAUUUUGAAUUUUAUUUAUUCUAUAAAAACAUAUAUUUUAAUUUUUAAGAUAUAGUGAUAAUGAUUAAAUUAGUAAUAAAAGUAUAUUUAAUAAUAUAUAAAUUAUUUAUAUAUAUAUAAUUUAAAGGAACUCGGCAAAAUUGAUUAUUCACCUGUUUAACAAAAACAUGGCCUAUUGAGUAUAAUUUUAGGUCGAUCUGCUCCAUGAAAUAAAUUUAAAUAGCUGCAGUAUAUUGACUGUACAAAGGUAGCAUAAUAAAUUGUCUUUUAAUUGAAGAAUUGAAUGAAUGAAUUGAUGAAAUAACAACUGUCUCUAUUUUAUUUAAUGAAUUUAAAUUUUUAGUAAAAAUUCUGAAAUUUAAUUAUGGGACGAUAAGACCCUAUAGAAUUUUAUUUAAUAUAAUUAUUUAUUUAAAAAUUAUUUGUGAAUAUAUAAUUAAUUUAAAUUUGAUUGGGAGGAUUGGUAAAUAAAAAUAACUUUAUCUAAAAAUUAAUUUUGAUGAAAAGAUUUUUUUUUGACUUAUAAUUUAUGAUUAAAAGAAUAAAUUACCUUAGGGAUAACAGCGUAAUAUCUUUUGAUAGACCACAUUGAUAAAGAUGUUUGCGACCUCGAUGUUGAAUUAAGAGAAAAGUUAAACGCAGGAGUUUAAAAUUUUAAGUCUGUUCGACUUUUAAAAUCUUACAUGAUUUGAGUUCAAAUCGACGUAAGUCAGAUUGGUUUCUAUCUAUAAUAAAAUUAAAAUUAUUUGUACGAAAGGACUUUAAUUUUUAAAUUAUUUAUAUUAUUAAUUAAUGAAUAUAUUAAUUUG